UACGGGGGGUGCGAGCGUUGUCCGGAAUCACUGGGCGUAAAGGGCGCGUAGGUGGCCUGAUAAGGGUGUGGUGAAAGUCCGGGGCUUAACCCCGGAUCUGCCGUGCCGACUGUUAGGCUAGAGUGCUGUAGGGGCAGGCGGAAUUCCGGGUGUAGCGGUGGAAUGCGUAGAGAUCCGGAGGAAGACCAGUGGCGAAGGCGGCGAUCUGGGAAGAUACUGACGCUGAGGUGCGAAAGCGUGGGGAGCAAACAGG
rnacentral:rRNA from 1 species